GUAGGUGGCAAGCGUUGUCCGGAAUUAUUGGGCGUAAAGCGCGCGCAGGCGGUCCUUUAAGUCUGAUGUGAAAGCCCACGGCUCAACCGUGGAGGGUCAUUGGAAACUGGGGGACUUGAGUACAGAAGAGGAAAGCGGAAUUCCGAGUGUAGCGGUGAAAUGCGUAGAGAUUUGGAGGAACACCAGUGGCGAAGGCGGCUUUCUGGUCUGUAACUGACGCUGAGGCGCGAAAGCGUGGGGAGCAAACAGGGAUUAGAUACCCUGGUAGUCCACGCCGUAAACGAUGAGUGCUAAGUGUUAGGGGGUUUCCCGCCCCUUAGUGCUGCAGCUAACGCAUUAAGCACUCCGCCUGGGGAGUACGGCCCGCAAGGCUG
rnacentral:rRNA from 1 species